rnacentral:lncRNA from 1 species
AACAGUCUUAAGUCGAUUUUGAAUUAACAUAAAAGUAUAUGAAUUUAUCCAUCAAAUCCUAGACCAUUACUCUCAUCCUCGUACCUUCUCUCCUCCAUGUAAUGCCGAUGCAAAGACACCAUCCCCCAACCGUGUUUCCGUCGUCCGCUGUCGGCCAGAAAUCGCCGCCGCCGCCGCCGACGCUCCUUUCCUAUCCAUAAAUACACCCUAGAAUACUCUUUCUCUCCUCUUUCCAACCCUCAAAAUAAUUUCCCUCAAUUCAUUGCUAAUUUUCUCGAAUAUUAAAUCUAAAAUCCGGCCAAAACCUCAACUUGUCCAAUAACGCCAAAACUUACACCAUACAAUCUCCUAACCCUCCAUCUCUAAUCCCAAACCAAAUCCUUUCAAAUCUCAACAUAACUUCUCUAAUUUUAGAUCAAAGGUUUCGAACGUGGACUAUUUGAAUUUUCAACAAUUCAAAGGAUUUUUAUUUAAUUUUAUAUGUUUUAUAAACAUUCAACAUAAUUAAAAAAUCAACUUCGAUAAUCAGUCAAAAGAAGAAAAAAACUGUGAAUUCCGUUAUAUUUUAAUUUUCUAUUGUUCUAGUUCUCUUUUUUUCUUCUUGUUGAUUUUUGUCUUGUUUGAUUUUUAUUCUGAUUUCCUGCUUGCUCUUAUCUAUUUCAUGCUUCAUACAUAUGUGAUUCAUAUUCCCUCCAGAAUUUUAGCCAUGAUUUUAUUCGUUUUUUGUUAUUUUUGUUCUCUCUUUGUCUCUUUUUUUCUUAUCGAUCAACUAUUCUAGGUUAGUUCGUUAAUUAUUUAGUGUAAGAGUUUGAUUGUAAAUUUUGAUUAAUGAUUGGUAAUGUUCGAAUUAGGUUAACUAGCAGUCUCCAUUAGUUCAAUAUUAUAGUAUUGAAUCUGGACGGAUAUAGCUGAAUCACUUAGUUCAACUAAUCAUAGUUAAAUGCAACUAAGGUAAGAGGGGCUUGGGGGGGGGGGGGNNNNNNNNNNNNNNNNNNNNNNNNNNNNNNNNNNNNNNNNNNNNNNNNNNNNNNNNNNNNNNNNNNNNNNNNNNNNNNNNNNNNNNNNNNNNNNNNNNNNNNNNNNNNNNNNNNNNNNNNNNNNNNGGGGCUGGGGGGGGGGGGUUAAGUUCAUACUAAGGUUAGUAAUUCUAUGGGCAAUCAAGGGUAGUUUAGGCAUCUAAAAGGGGCUAGUUUGUUAAUACUUGGUAAUUGGAGAACCAAAAUAAGUGUAGUAUAGGUAUUUCAUAGAUAAAAAACAAGGCUAGAACACCAUAGAGCCUUCUAGAAGGGGGCAUUAGUGUAAAUUUCUGUAUUUUUAAUGCAGUAACUUGGGCAACAAGCCACAAAAUUGUGGAUUAAAGUACAAUUUCUUAAAAUAAAAAGGGGGAAGAUGAGUAAAACCCUUCUAGAACCUUCUGCCCCAUUUAUUGCCUAUAAAAGGUAGCCCCAAUGCUUUUAUUUACAAGUUUAGACACCUCUGAAAAUUUUCAAAGUUUUAGCCAUCAAAAGUUCCCCCUAAAAGCUCUCUCUCUAAUAUUCAGAUCUGAACUUCAUUCAAAUAUUCAAAAAUCGAAAAAUAAUAGAAAACAGAAAAAAAAAUCAAAAAAUAAUUUACUUUUUUGUUACCUAUUUCGAUCAUUUUCAAAUUUCUCUUUGCUUUUCUUCAUUUCUGCUCUAAGCUUGAGUUCUAAUGGCAUUUGGAGUUGUUUAGUGACUUGUUCAAGUGAAUUUGGGACUACUUAGUUUGGAUUUUGGUUGAGUUUUUCUCCAGUGAAGUUUUAGGAGCAUUUUAAGUUCAAUCUCGAGUUAAUUUGGGGUGCAUUUGGGUGAUUUGUGAUUGAUAUCUCCUUUUCGUCUGGCUUCAAACUUUUUUUAGGGUUGUGAUUCUAUUUUCUAGGCGGUGUAUUUGUUGCUGUGUUUGAGUUUGCUGCUGACCUCCUGAUUUUCUGAUUUGUUAUUCGAAUUUCAGGUACACCAAUUGCAUCCUUGACUGAUUGUGAGCUGAAAAAUGUGUAGAAAGAAAGUAAUAUGAAGAAUGGAAGCAAAAGUUGGAUUUAGUUCAUGUAUAUUUUCUGUUUAUGAUUAUAUUGAUUGGAAUGUGUUGAAUUCGUAUGUUCUGAUCUUAUUAAUUCUGGAUUGUUCUUUAGAGUCAUGAAUUCCUUGGGCAAAUGAUAUUAGGUUGAAUCAGAAUAGAAUAAUCGUUUGUUUGAGUUUGAGUUAUCAUCUUGCUCGACGUAGUGUUUUAAUGAAAUCACCAGUAGAAUAGUGCAUAAUAUAGUUCAGGCAUAGAAUUAGAAAUCAAAUAAUUAGUGUCCUGUUAAUUCGAGUUCAGACAUAUAGAGGAUUGGAUAACUGAACCACUCAUUUAGAUCUCCAAAUUUUGAAUUCAUUUGCAUGUGUAGAAUCAAGUGUUAAGUCGUGUGAGUUUGUCAGAUUUGAUAAUUUAAAUUAAAUGAAAUAAGGAAUCAAAAAUAAAAUUAGCCGUAAGUGUAAAAGGAGAUUUAUGUAAUUUUGAGGAAAAGCCAGAGCAAAGUGCACCGUAUUACUUAGUUUGCUUUGGGGAUGAACUGGGCUGUUUAAUAUUGCGUUCCCCGGUACCUCUUCCUCUCGGUGCAGGACUGAACCUUUCGGCGCAUGAUUGCAAGGCCGCAAUUGUGCCCGAAAAAUGGCUCGCCGCCGGAGGAAUGUGGCUGUUACUACUGCUCAGAUUGUUACCCCAGCUCAUGGUGUUACAAAGGAGUUAGAACCGCUGACAUUUGGUAAUUUCCUCCCCCAAAAGUUCCAAUCG